rnacentral:piRNA from 1 species
UUGGCUCACAGUUUGAGGGAACAAUCC